AAGAGAGAGACAUGCGCGCAUAUCAAUAAGCGGAGGAAAAGAAACUAACAAGGAUUCCCUUAGUAACGGCGAGUGAAGCGGGAAGAGCUCAAAUUUGAAAUCUUCAAGGUUUUACCUUGACGAAUUGUAGUUUAAAGAAGUGUUUUCUGCUGAAGUUUUGGUAAAAGUUCUUUGGAAUAGGACAUCAUAGAGGGUGAGAAUCCCGUAUUUGACCAUUAUUUUCAGCUUUGAUGAUACACUUUCAAAGAGUCGGAUUGUUUGGGAAUGCAGUCCAAAAUGGGUGGUAAAUUUCAUCUAAAGCUAAAUAUUGGCGAGAGACCGAUAGCGAACAAGUACCGUGAGGGAAAGAUGAAAAGAACUUUGAAAAGAGAGUUAAACAGUACGUGAAAUUGUCAAAAGGGAAGCGUUUGACACCAGUGUUGUCUUCUCGAAAAUCAAUUAAAAAUGGCUCGAUUUUGUAUUGCUUGAGACCUUAAAAGCUCACUGUACAUUUUUCGUGUCUUUUUUAAUGCACUUUUCGUUUAACAAGUCAACAUCAGUUUCUUUUGUUGUAAAAGGGUCAUUGGAAGGUGGCUUUCUUUUCGGAGAAAGUGUUUAUAGCCUUUGGCCUCUGCAAUCGGAGAGACUGAGGUCUGCAGCGUAGACUCUUCGGGGUUAGAUACAUUUGUGCUAAGUUAUAGCUUUUUAUAGACAACUUGUUGACUAUAAUUAGUCUUGUAGCUUACUCGCUUAUGCUAUUUUACCUACGCUUAGGAUGUUGAAGAUGUAGCACAUCAU
rnacentral:rRNA from 1 species